AAAAAUCGAAUACAAUGUAAUUAUUCGUCCUCGAGUAUCAGUCAAACAGCCCUUACCAAAAAAUGUUGUAUUAAAUUGCAAUGAAUUAUGGCUCUUACAAAACUGGAACCUAAGACGUAGUAAAUAUAAAAAAGAAGAUGUGGUAUGAUUGCCAAUGAGAUAACUAUCCACAAAAGACCAAAAUGAAACAGACAUUAAAAACUAAAGGUCACUGUACGGCCAUCAACAAUGAGCAAAGCCCACACAACAUAGUAAGCUAUAUAAGGCCCCGAUAAGACAAUGUAAAACAAUUCAAACGAGAAAACUAACAGCCUUAUUUAGGUAAAAAAAAUGAAAGAAAAACCAAUAUGCAAGACAUAAACAAACGACAACCACUGAAUUACAGGCUCCUGACUUGGGACUGACCGGCAUAGUGGGAGGGUUGAGAUCUCACAAACAUGUUUAACCCCGCCGCAUUUUUGCGCCUGUCCCAAGUCAGGA
rnacentral:lncRNA from 1 species